CUCAGGCUGCUCCCAUGCAUGCAGGCUGGCUGGAGCGCACGGAUCAGCCGAGCUCUAGCGCCUACUGCCAAACACUUUCUUGGCCGCUGAUGGUACUUUUCUCCCUUUUUUCUUUACGUGGCCUGAUAGGAGCUAUUUAAAUCAGCCACGCAGCGAAUCAGACUUGUCUCCCAACACUGCGCUCCGCUCUCCUUCCUGCGCCUCAAGUGACCGGAGAGGCGCAAAUUCCUCCCCAAGCGCUGUCCCUUUUUUUCUGGCAGGAAUAAAGUACUUUUGUUUGUUUUGUUUUUUUACAGGCAAUCCUCAGGGUGGACCACGGUGGUGAAAACAAAGGAUACAGGAUUCUUGAAGAGGGAAUGGAAGAACAAGGGAGGGCAAUAAGGGUCGGUGCUGAGAUUUACAUGAUGCGUUGUGAUCCAUUUGACCUGAACUGUAAGCAAGGAAUUACCUGGGUAUGAAAGAGCACAUGCACACGCGCACGCACACACACACACACACGUUUCCAUGACUUAAACACAUUAUUUUGACUUAAUCCAGGAGACGUAACCCAAGUCUUCACCGUAAAAUUUAAUAAUGUACUUUAUGUGGUCCGAUAUUUUGGUCCCCGACAAAUUUGAUGCACCCCAUCCCCUGUUUGAGAAAAAUACACGUCACCUUCGCUACAAAGGAACACACUCAUUUGUUAAAUGGAGCGAACUUAUCACUCUAUGCUAAGUGGAAGUUUCAGUCUUCUCCUCUGCCUUCUUCUCUCGUCUGUCCAUGUCAUCCUUAUUAUUCCACUUUCUCAUCACCCAUCAGUUAGCCUCAUACACACACACACCUCUAGACAUCACAUCAGCCAUCAGUUUGCCCGACAGACAUAAAUGUACAUCUUCACAUUCACACACUCCUUUACAUCACACGUCACAUCACAAGGAGAAAAGUGUGUGAGUGUGUGUGUGUGUGUGUGAGAGUGAGUGGGGGGGGGUUGUCGGCAGCGGAAGGGGUUGACAGGAUGGAAGAGGAAGUACACAGGAAGUACAUUAGUUAUCACUCCCUUGUCUUCUCCACCUUUUCACUUCUUAUCACCACCCGACGUCUCAGACCCUGGACGAGCUGCUUCUUCUACACAUCCCACCCCUUCCCUUUCUCUCCCAGUCUCUGCCUUCCCACACACACACACACACACACACACACACGCCUCUAAAAAUGACUUCCGUGCUCCACUUUAGUGUCGGGCUCCGGGAUCUAGAUGACACUUGGCAAGCCGCAGAAGCCGCAAGACAACAGGAUGAAAUAUUUAAAUGAAAGAUGGCAGGGGUAGAGGAGGUGAAGGAAAGGAAAGAGAGAAAAAAACAAAAAAAAAAAAAAAAAAAAAUGAAGGGAAAGGAAAUGCACGACAGAGGACGAAGGGAAGGAGAGAUGUUCAAAUGGUGAGCGGAAUGUGAAGGAUUUCUUUUCUUGGCAAAGAGAGGAGCGGUGUGACAAGAAGUGUAGAUGAAUUGGCUUUCACCUAAAAAAAAUGUAGCCUGAAGAGAUAUUAACCAAUAUAGUAUGAGAUCACAUCGCUUUGUCUUGGAGUCAUCAGCAUGUCUCAGUGUGUGUCAGAGUACUUUAAGCAGUGUGCCAGCUCAGCUUCUUAAAGGAAGGCAAUGAAUCUAAAACAUGACCAAGUCAAAUUUCACUCUGUUAAAGCAAUUUAAGUUUUGACUCAUGCAAGACCAAAAAAAAAAAAAUACAAGGAAACACUUUCAGGUGUGUGUUUGUGGUUGUUCAUUUGUACAUGGUGGCUCGCUUGCUGUAUAAGUGUCCUUUAAUUAUUUUCUUAGCCAGUCGUGUGUGUAGAACUGCAUGCUGGUAGUACAUGUUUGUGUGUAGGCCUGCAUGUAUUUGCUUUAUAUGUAAAUGCAUGCGCUGCGGCUCCAUAAACAUGCAUGCGUGUGUUUGUAGCGUAAUUACUGACACGUGUGGAUCCAGUCACUGUUCAGUUCUACUUGUAAAGUGACUCAAUACAAAGCUAGACGUCGGCUGUCGGCCUGUCAGAGGAGUGAGUGAGUGGAUGGGCGCAUUAAAACACCAGCUAAAUAAUUCAAACGGAACAGUGUAUAACUUUGUGUUGUGUGUAGUAUUGAAAUAAUUGAUUUGUCAGAUGCAUUUUGGAAAGGAAAUCAAUAAACAAAUAAGGAUUUAAUGCAAAGUGUGUGUUGUCAUUUGUGUUAUCAAUGCCACUGUUCUGUAGGCGGUGUUGCUCUAGUGAAGUUUCAAUAUUCCUACAUUAUCAUAAAAAACACAGAAUCAAUGAAACUGAUGUCUAAAGGGUAAAAACAGAAAAAUAUAUAGUCAAAGGUGAUAUCACAAAAAAAGGGGGAAAAAAGCAGUAUAUCAUGAUUUAAGUUUAAGUUUUAUGGCAUAAAUUUCUAAGUGAAUGCAACGUGCACAUAAGCAAAAAAAAAAACAAAAAAAAAAAACCC